CCUACGGGAGGCAGUAGUGGGGAAUAUUGCACAAUGGGGGAAACCCUGAUGCAGCGACGCCGCGUGAGUGAAGAAGUAAUUCGUUAUGUAAAGCUCUAUCAGCAGGGAAGAAAAUGACGGUACCUGAGUAAGAAGCCCCGGCUAACUACGUGCCAGCAGCCGCGGUAAGACGUAGGGGGCAAGCGUUAUCCGGAUUUACUGGGUGUAAAGGGAGCGUAGACGGCAGUGCAAGUCUGGAGUGAAAGGCGGGGGCUCAACCCCCGGACUGCUCUGGAAACUGUACGGCUGGAGUGCAGGAGAGGUAAGUGGAAUUCCUAGUGUAGCGGUGAAAUGCGUAGAUAUUAGGAGGAACACCAGUGGCGAAGGCGGCUUACUGGACUGUAACUGACGUUGAGGCUCGAAAGCGUGGGGAGCAAACAGGAUUAGAUACCCUUGUAGUC
rnacentral:rRNA from 1 species